rnacentral:lncRNA from 1 species
GCCGCUUAUUGUUGGAGCUCGAUUGAAGAUCGGUUGUCGCGAGAGCUCGGAGUAACGACCUGGCUGGUGGAUCCUGCCCCAUGGUAGAAGCUCGUCUGGGAUCCGGCUAUGAAGAAGCUCGGCUGAAGGCUACCUGUAAUGGAAGUUUGAAAGAAAUCUGUUUACAGUAGAGGCCCGCAUGGAAUUUGCUUACAGUAGAGAUCCGGGGU